CCGAUCAUGGAUGUAUUACCCACGCAGGCAAACUGAUGCAGUUAAGCUGUUUCAAUAGAAGGAGCAGUAAAAACCCAGGCUGGGUCAGGAACGGGUCCAGCUCAGAGCACGGUAGUGGUUUGUCCCUGGCAAAGGACAGGCGUCCGGGUCUGUGGCGACACCUGGUGGGCAGAUGGAGCGUUGCAGAUCCGAUGGAGGGGAUCAUUAUCACACUUCUAAUUCAAAAGGAAACAGCCUCCACAUCACAGAGAUGGACGUCCAACAAACGGCGAUGUUCAUGAAGCUCCUCCCGACACGUCCAACAUAAACACCAGCAAAAUACUGAAGCGACCAGUUUGUCUGAGUCUGUUUGUUUGGGACCGUGCUGUCAAAUCCAUCCAUCGGGUCGACAGCUUUAAACACACGCACAAAACAACCUGCUGACUUCACUUUGAUCUAAUCAGGUGAAUGAGUGAAGAAGGUCAUUCCAUAAAUUCUAAUAUUGAAGCUUUUGUGUGAAUUAAUUCAGUGAUGUCAUUAUGACGCAGACCAACCGUUUCUAAAAGCAAAUGUGAAACUGUUUGGCAACGCUCCAGAACCAAAUCUAAUUCCAGUCUGGGAGCAGAGCAGCAGCUCCAACAGGACCACGCGGCGUCGUGAGUUCUGUGAACAUCCGUCCCUGAAACGAGGCGCGGGCUCAUGACAAGGAUACAGAUGUGUUUUAAUGAGCCCGUUCUGGGCCACCGUGCGGUUUGUAUCUGAGACCAAGGCUGCGAGGCUUUAAAAAUACAAAGACAAAGCAGUGAACAAGCAGGGGAGGAAACAGAGGAACGCUGGUUGUGCAGACUGUAGGUGAAGCAGAGGCAGUGGAAACAUCAGACCUUUGGGAUGUUGAAGAAAACACCAAAGCUUGAUUUGUGCUAUUACACCACCAAACCACUAGUUGGCAGCAGAGGACGCAGACGCCAGCGUCACCUUCAGCUACUGAGCUGACUGAACGGUCUUCAUAGAGUCGAAGCUAAUAGAUGCUGAACAGUGUUUACUGUGUCUGCGCGUCCACUGUGACAUCUGCUUUGUAUUUUGUGGACACAAACCAAAGGCAAACAAAGGACGGAGCGACGCCUUUUUAGCGUCGUGGGAUAAAACCGUCCCCUGCGGCUCUGAGAGGACGGAGCGGAAAGUGUCGCUGAGGACAUGAGUGUUAGAGGACUUCACUUCACAGCUGAACCCCUGCAGGAGGUGGUGCAGGAAGAGAAGCUGGAGGCAGCGCUUUGCAGUCACACCUCCAAAUGCCGCUCUUCAGCUAAAGGUCGAGGCCCAUGUGUUGUGGAAAAGCGCCGGUCGGGGAAGAACCCGGCUCCUCUGUGUGAAUAGUGAUAGCUCAUUAGUUUCACGUAGGACUAGUACUGAAGCAGUGAGAGGAACCGGAGACAUUUCUCAAAUUUGCCAAAAGACAGAGACGAGGAGAUCGUUUCACUGAGAGGUCGUCCGUCCCACAGACCAGGAACCCGUCAGGACGUAUGAAGAAGGUUCAGCCAGAACCAGAACCACAGGCUGGACCCACUCAUUCCCUCCAGACAAUGAUAAUUAGAGGAG